rnacentral:rRNA from 1 species
AUUGAACGCUGGCGGCAGGCCUCACACAUGCAAGUCGGGCGCGCGGCGGACGGGUGAGUAAUGUAUGGGGAUCUGCCUGAUGGCGGGGGAUAACUACUGGAAACGGUAGCUAAUACCGCAUACCAUCAGAUGCACCCAUAUGGGAUUAGCUAGUAGGUGAGGUAACGGCGUACCUAGGCGACGAUCCCUAGCUGGUCUGAGAGGAUGAUCAGCCACACUGGGACUGAGACACGGCCCAGACUCCUACGGGAGGCAGCAGUGGGGAAUGUUGCACAAUGGGCGCAAGCCUGAUGCAGCCAUGCCGCGUGUAUGAAGAAGGCCUGCGGGUUGUAAAGUACUUUCAGUCGGGAGGCGUUACCGACAGAAGAAGCACCGGCUAACUCCGGGCCAGCAGCCGCGGUAAUUC